rnacentral:snRNA from 1 species
GUGGUCACUUCAGCAGCUCACACACUAAAAUCGGAACAAUACAGAAAGAUUAACACGACCCUUGCUCAAGGAUGACUUGUAAACUCAUGAAGCAUUCCGUGUGUGU